AUUGAACGCUGGCGGCAGGCCUAACGCAUGCAAGUCGAACGGUAACAGGAAGAAGCUUGCUUCUUCGCUGACGAGUGGCGGACGGGUGAGUAAUGUCUGGGAAACUGCCUGAUGGAGGGGGAUAACUACUGGAAACGGUAGCUAAUACCGCAUAACGUCGCAAGACCAAAGAGGGGGACCUUCGGGCCUCUUGCCAUCGGAUGUGCGCAGAUGGGAUUAGCUAGUAGGUGGGGUAACGGCUCACCUAGGCGACGAUCCGUAGCUGGUCUGAGAGGAUGACCAGCCACACUGGAACUGAGACACGGUCCAGACUCCUACGGGAGGCAGCAGUGGGGAAUAUUGCACAAUGGGCGCAAGCCUGAUGCAGCCAUGCCGCGUGUAUGAAGAAGGCCUUCGGGUUGUAAAGUACUUUCAGCGGGGAGGAAGGGAGUAAAGUUAAUACCUUUGCUCAUUGACGUUACCCGCAGAAGAAGCACCGGCUAACUCCGUG
rnacentral:rRNA from 1 species